rnacentral:rRNA from 1 species
CAAUAGCGUAUAUUAAUGUUGUUGCAGUUAAAAAGCUCGUAGUUGGAUUUUGGUUAAGAGGGCGCGGUCGGCCGUUUGGUCUGUACUGCGUUGUCUUGACUUCCUGAUGAGGACAUGCUCUUGGUUAACGCUGAGACAUGGAGUCAUCGUGGUUACUUUGAAAAAAUUAGAGUGUUCAAAGCGGGCUUACGCUUGAAUAUAUUAGCAUGGAAUAAUGGAAUAGGACUUGGGUUCUAUUUUGUUGGUUUCUAGGACCGAGGUAAUGAUUAAUAGGGGUAGUUGGGGGCAUUCGUAUUUAAUUGUCAGAGGUGAAAUUCUUGGAUUUAUGAAAGACGAACUUCUGCGAAAGCAUUUGCCAAGGAUGUUUUCAUUAAUCAAGAACGAAAGUUAGGGGAUCGAAGAUGAUUAGAUACCA